UACGUAGGUGGCAAGCGUUGUCCGGAUUUAUUGGGCGUAAAGCGCGCGUAGGCGGCUGCCUAAGCGGAACCUCUAAUCCUGGGGCUCAACCUCAGGCCGGGUUCCGAACUGGGCGGCUCGAGUGCGGUAGGGGCAGGUGGAAUUCCCGGUGUAGCGGUGGAAUGCGCAGAUAUCGGGAGGAACACCGGUGGCGAAGGCGGCUUUCUGGCCAGUUACUGACGCUCAUGCGCGAAAGCUGGGGUAGCGAACCGGAUUAGAUACCCCGGUAGUCCCUGAGCGGG
rnacentral:rRNA from 1 species